rnacentral:rRNA from 1 species
UACGUAGGGUGCGAGCGUUGUCCGGAAUUACUGGGCGUAAAGAGCUCGUAGGUGGUUUGUCGCGUUGUUCGUGAAAACUCACAGCUCAACUGUGGGCGUGCGGGCGAUACGGGCAGACUGGAGUACUGCAGGGGAGACUGGAAUUCCUGGUGUAGCGGUGGAAUGCGCAGAUAUCAGGAGGAACACCGGUGGCGAAGGCGGGUCUCUGGGCAGUAACUGACGCUGAGGAGCGAAGGCGUGGGGAGCGAACAGG